CAGCCGCCGCGGGAAAACGUAGGUGGCAAGCGUUGUCCGGAAUUAUUGGGCGUAAAGCGCGCGCAGGUGGUUUAAUAAGUCUGAUGUGAAAGCCCACGGCUCAACCGUGGAGGGUCAUUGGAAACUGUUAAACUUGAGUGCAGGAGAGAAAAGUGGAAUUCCUAGUGUAGCGGUGAAAUGCGUAGAGAUUAGGAGGAACACCAGUGGCGAAGGCGGCUUUUUGGCCUGUAACUGACACUGAGGCGCGAAAGCGUGGGUAGCAAACAGGAUUAGAUACCCCCGUAGUCCCUGUCUCUUAUAC
rnacentral:rRNA from 1 species